UGGCGGACGGGUGAGUAACGCGUGGGUAACCUGCCUUACACAGGGGGAUAACACUUAGAAAUAGGUGCUAAAACCGCAUAAGCGCACAGCUUCGCAUGAAGCGGUGUGAAAAACUCCGGUGGUGUAAGAUGGACCCGCGUCUGAUUAGCUUGUUGGCGGGGUAACGGCCCACCAAGGCGACGAUCAGUAGCCGGCCUGAGAGGGCGGACGGCCACAUUGGGACUGAGACACGGCCCAGACUCUUACGGAAGGCAGCAG
rnacentral:rRNA from 1 species